UACAGAGGUCUCAAGCGUUGUUCGGAUUCAUUGGGCGUAAAGGGUGCGUAGGCGGCGCGGUAAGUCGGGUGUGAAAUCUUGGAGCUUAACUCCGAAACUGCAUUCGAUACUGCCGUGCUUGAGGACUGGAGAGGAGACUGGAAUUUACGGUGUAGCGGUGAAAUGCGUAGAUAUCGGGAGGAACACCGGUGGCGAAGGCGGCCUUCUGGACGGAUACUGACGCUGAUACGCGAAAGCGUGGGGAGCAAACAGG
rnacentral:rRNA from 1 species